GACGAACGCUGGCGGCGUGCUUAACACAUGCGAGUCGAACGGAAAGGCCCUUCGGGGUACUCGAGUGGCGAACGGGUGAGUAACACGUGGGUGAUCUGCCCUGCACUUUGGGAUAAGCCUGGGAAACUGGGUCUAAUACCGAAUAGGACCACGCGCUUCAUGGUGUGUGGUGGAAAGCUUUUGCGGUGUGGGAUGGGCCCGCGGCCUAUCAGCUUGUUGGUGGGGUAAUGGCCUACCAAGGCGACGACGGGUAGCCGGCCUGAGAGGGUGACCGGCCACACUGGGACUGAGAUACGGCCCAGACUCCUACGGGAGGCAGCAGUGGGGAAUAUUGCACAAUGGGCGCAAGCCUGAUGCAGCGACGCCGCGUGAGGGAUGACGGCCUUCGGGUUGUAAACCUCUUUCAAUAGGGACGAAGCGUGAGUGACGGUACCUAUAGAAGAAGCACCGGCCAACUACGUGCCAGCAGCCGCGGUAAUACGUAGGGUGCGAGCGUUGUCCGGAAUUACUGGGCGUAAAGAGCUCGUAGUGGUUUGUCGCGUUGUUCGUGAAAACUCACAGCUUAACUGUGGGCGUGCGGGCGAUACGGGCAGACUAGAGUACUGCAGGGGAGACUGGAAUUCCUGGUGUAGCGGUGGAAUGCGCAGAUAUCAGGAGGAACACCGGUGGCGAAGGCGGGUCUCUGGGCAGUAACUGACGCUGAGGAGCGAAAGCGUGGGGAGCGAACAGGAUUAGAUACCCUGGUAGUCCACGCCGUAAACGGUGGGUACUAGGUGUGGGUUCCUUCCUUGGGAUCCGUGCCGUAGCUAACGCAUUAAGUACCCCGCCUGGGGAGUACGGCCGCAAGGCUAAAACUCAAAGGAAUUGACGGGGGCCCGCACAAGCGGCGGAGCAUGUGGAUUAAUUCGAUGCAACGCGAAGAACCUUACCUGGGUUUGACAUGCACAGGACGCCGGCAGAGAUGUCGGUUCCCUUGUGGCCUGUGUGCAGGUGGUGCAUGGCUGUCGUCAGCUCGUGUCGUGAGAUGUUGGGUUAAGUCCCGCAACGAGCGCAACCCUUGUCCUAUGUUGCCAGCGGGUUAUGCCGGGGACUCGUAGGAGACUGCCGGGGUCAACUCGGAGGAAGGUGGGGAUGACGUCAAGUCAUCAUGCCCCUUAUGUCCAGGGCUUCACACAUGCUACAAUGGCCGGUACAAAGGGCUGCGAUGCCGUGAGGUGGAGCGAAUCCUUUCAAAGCCGGUCUCAGUUCGGAUCGGGGUCUGCAACUCGACCCCGUGAAGUCGGAGUCGCUAGUAAUCGCAGAUCAGCAACGCUGCGGUGAAUACGUUCCCGGGCCU
rnacentral:rRNA from 1 species